rnacentral:lncRNA from 1 species
UCACAAGCCACCCCAUGUCAAACCACCGCACAAGCCCCCGUAUGUUCCUAAACCACCUUAUUCCCCAAGCCCUAAACCGCCUUACGUGCCAAAACCACCUCAUACUCCAGUCCCUAGGCCACCAUAUUUCCCCAAACCACCUUACACACCAAGGCCUAAGCCACCAUAUGCGCCAAAACCACCUUAUACGCCAACCCCUAAGCCACCAUAUUUCCCCAAACCACCUUACACACCAAGGCCGAAGCCACCAUAUGUGCCAAAACCACCUUAUACGCCAGCCCCUAAGCCACCAUAUUUUCCCAAACCACCUUACACACCAAGGCCUAAGCCACCAUAUGCACCAAAACCACCUUAUACGCCAACACCUAAGCCACCAUAUUUCCCCAAACCACCUUACACACCAAGGCCUAAGCCACCGUACGUGCCAAAACCACCGUACACACCAAGGCCUAAGCCACCGUACGUGCCAAAACCACCAUACACACCAACCCCUAAGCCACCGUACGUGCCAAAACCACCUUACACCCCAACCCCUAAGCCACCGUACGUGCCAAAACCACCGUAUACCCCAACUCCUAAGCCACCGUACGUCCCAUCGCCACCUUAUACCCCUCGCCCUAAACCACCGUAUGUACCAUCACCACCUUAUACCCCUAG